rnacentral:tRNA from 1 species
UGGGGUGUAAUUCAAUUGGUAGAAUAACGGCCUUUGAAGCCGCAUGUUAGAGGUUCGAGUCCUCUCACCCCAGCCA